UACGGGGGGUGCGAGCGUUGUCCGGAAUCACUGGGCGUAAAGGGCGCGUAGGUGGCUUUGUAAGUUUGCGGUGAAAGCCCGGGGCUCAACCCCGGGUCUGCCGUGGAUACUGCAAGGCUUGAGUACUGUAGAGGCAGGUAGAAUAUCGGGUGUAGCGGUGGAAUGCGUAGAGAUCCGAUAGAAGACCGGUGGCGAAGGCGGCCUGCUGGGCAGUAACUGACGCUGAGGCGCGACAGCGUGGGGAGCAAACAGG
rnacentral:rRNA from 1 species